AGGACUAACGCUGGCGGCGUGCCUAACACAUGCAAGUCGAACGAAGUAGCAAUACUUAGUGGCAGACGGGUGAGUAACACGUAGUCAACCUGCCCUUCAAUGGGGGAUAACUAGCCGAAAGGUUAGCUAAUACCGCAUACGAUCUCUGAGUGGCAUCACUCGGCGAUGAAAGGAGUAAUCCGUUGAAGGAGGGGACUGCGUCCCAUUAGUUAGUUGGUGGGGUAAUGGCCUACCAAGACUCCGAUGGGUAGCUGGCUUGAGAGAGCGACCAGCCACACUGGAACUGAGACACGGUCCAGACUCCUACGGGAGGCAGCAGUGAGGAAUUUUUCCGCAAUGGGGGAAACCCUGACGGAGCGACGCCGCGUGUGGGAAGAAGGCCUUCGGGUCGUAAACCACUGUCGAGGGGGACGAUAUUGACGGUACCCCUGGAGGAAGCCCCGGCUAACUACGUGCCAGCAGCCGC
rnacentral:rRNA from 1 species